rnacentral:tRNA from 1 species
UGCGGGGUGGGAAAGUUGGCAAUCCGCUGGCCUCAUAAGCCAGAGAUCGAGCGUUCGAGUCGCUCCCUCGCAA